rnacentral:lncRNA from 1 species
AAUCCUUUCUGAAAUUACCUUGGAGAGACAACACACAAUCAAGAGAACAUACAUAGGUCUUGAGCUUCAGCAAAGGUGGUACUGGCCUGGCCUUCAGCUGUGAAUGGAAAUUAAGGUGGCAGGAGACUCAGGGCACAGGGUCUCUGAUCUCAGGGCAGCAGACCCCUUUGGCCACUAGGAAAGCCAUCUCCCCCUACAGAUCCUGAUGCUGAAUGAAGAUAAAGUCUAAUCUGAAGUAUGGUUCAGCUCCAGAGUGUUCUGAUAUAGGAAAGGGGUCUGAAGGUGCAGAAAUUAAGUCCCUUAUUGUAUUGGAGGAGAAAGAGAAGCCUUCUUAUCUUUCUGCAAUGUCUGUACUCUGGGUGAUACUCACCAAAGGGGAUCAGUGCUUUGUCCUUCCCACUCCCCCACCCUCAUGACAAGACAGAACACUGAAUGCUGCUAUUCGGAAAAAGUGAAAAGGCAAUCUCUGAUAUGUGGAGAGACUUGCAAAGCAAAUUACCCAACAACAUCUGAUUUAAUUCUCAUAACACCCUUGACAUACAGGCAAA